UCCAUUUUGGCUCUGGGGAACAUAGGGUAAGCUCUCUCUUUCUCUCUCUAAAACUUCUCUCCAUUUUUGAGUAGAAGUUAAUGGAAUUAACUCCUUUCUCUUCUCCUCUUCAUGUUGGCUGAGGUGGUGAGCUGGGAGGGAGCUGCGGAUGAGGUGAAAGGGAAUUUUUGGUGGUCUUUAACUUUAACCCUAAUUCAGGAAUGUGCUGGGGUUAAGCUUCGAAUGCUGAGUUGAGGAAAGUUUACAAAGGCCGUAGAAUGAGUAUCUUGGGCUGUGACUAUCGAUUUUAAUCCAGGAGUAAGCUGGAUUAGGAUUUUAAGAAGCAGCUUUAAUUAUCACUUUGAGCUGAAUAUAGGGGCAAUCGAGAGCUGAUUUGGGAUGCCCCAACUUACGUGGAAUGGAGAUUGAGCUCUAGACUAAACCUGGGUUCGCAGCAGGUUUGCGACAGAUUGUUGAAGUAAUCUCAGCUGAUUUUUAGGAGCUUUCGAAGGUUAAACUUGGUGCUUUAACCUAAACCGAAACAGGGAUUUAAGCUAUAGCAUUGUACAAGGGUUGAGUUUUAAUCUAAACCUAGAGGACUUGGAGACUCCAAAUUCCUGUAGUUGCAAGUGACUAAGAGUCGUCGACUAGUAGAGCCUUCCAUGACGGGAAAGGCUAGGGAUUCUUGGCAAGGGGUCAACGGUUAAAUAGAUCCUUCUCGAUGUUAAAUAGAUGAACCUCUAUUGGUUUAAUUUGGUUUAGCUCAGUGAUGUAUUCUGGAAUUAUGUAAAAUGUUCUUUACUUUUAAAUUGUAAUAAGGUUUUGGGUUGUAUAAGUUUACUAUAUUUUUAAGUUGUGCUCUGAUUACCUGAUUGGAAUCGAA